AUACUUACCUGACAGGGGUGAUUUCAUGAUCACAAAGGUGGUUUCCCCAGGAUGAGGCUUAUCCAUUGCACUCACAUGGGAUGAUCCCUGUAAUUUUUCCAAAUGAGGGAAACUUGACUGCAUAAUUUGUGGUAGUGGGGGACUGCAUUCAUGUUCUCCCCUG
ensembl:snRNA U1 U1 spliceosomal RNA